UGAACGCUGGCGGCACGCCUUACACAUGCAAGUCGAACGGCAGCGCGGACUUCGGUCUGGCGGCGAGUGGCGAACGGGUGAGUAAUACAUCGGAACGUACCCUGUUGUGGGGGAUAACUAGUCGAAAGAUUAGCUAAUACCGCAUACGACCUGAGGGUGAAAGUGGGGGACCGCAAGGCCUCACGCAGCAGGAGCGGCCGAUGUCUGAUUAGCUUGUUGGUGGGGUAAAAGCCCACCAAGGCGACGAUCAGUAGCUGGUCUGAGAGGACGAUCAGCCACACUGGGACUGAGACACGGCCCAGACUCCUACGGGAGGCAGCAGUGGGGAAUUUUGGACAAUGGGCGCAAGCCUGAUCCAGGCCAUGCCGCGUGCAGGAUG
rnacentral:rRNA from 1 species